UAAUACGUAGGGGGCAAGCGUUGUCCGGAAUCAUUGGGCGUAAAGAGCGUGUAGGCGGCCAGAUAAGUCCGCUGUGAAAACUCGAGGCUCAACUUCGAGCUGUCGGUGGAAACUAUUUGGCUAGAGUCCGGAAGAGGAGAGUGGAAUUCCUGGUGUAGCGGUGAAAUGCGCAGAUAUCAGGAAGAACACCCGUGGCGAAGGCGGCUCUCUGGUACGGAACUGACGCUGAGACGCGAAAGCGUGGGGAGCGAACAGGAUUAGAUACCCUGGUAGUCCACGCCGUAAACGA
rnacentral:rRNA from 1 species